UUUUAUGGAGAGUUUGAUCCUGGCUCAGGAUGAACGCUGGCGGCGUGCCUAAUACAUGCAAGUCGAGCGAACAGACGAGGAGCUUGCUCCUCUGACGUUAGCGGCGGACGGGUGAGUAACACGUGGAUAACCUACCUAUAAGACUGGGAUAACUUCGGGAAACCGGAGCUAAUACCGGAUAAUAUAUUGAACCGCAUGGUUCAAUAGUGAAAGACGGUUUUGCUGUCACUUAUAGAUGGAUCCGCGCCGCAUUAGCUAGUUGGUAAGGUAACGGCUUACCAAGGCAACGAUGCGUAGCCGACCUGAGAGGGUGAUCGGCCACACUGGAACUGAGACACGGUCCAGACUCCUACGGGAGGCAGCAGUAGGGAAUCUUCCGCAAUGGGCGAAAGCCUGACGGAGCAACGCCGCGGGAGAGAUGAAGGUGGUCGGAUCGUAGAAAUCUGUUA
rnacentral:rRNA from 1 species